CAGCGGUAGGUAAGAAAAGUGCCCGCCCUCCUCUCUGGCCAUUAAGGAGAUUUUGAAUCCGAUUCCUCCUCCAGCAUCUUUAAAUACAGAGUGGAGAGAAGAGAAAAAAGGACAAGGGGGCCCCAGACAAGGACUAAGGAAGGAUCUCUGCCCCAGUCUCCUAAAACAAAAAUAGUACUGACGGUGUGUGCAGUCUGUGAGGAAAACUAACGGAGCAGAACACUGAUUCACAGAAACAACACAAAGUAGGUGCACAGCUCAAUGAGGCGUUAGAAGGAGAACACCUUAGCAACCACUGUUCGGGUCAAGAAAUAGAACUCUGCCAACCACCCCCAGAGUUCCUCAAUGUGUCCUGCCUGAUUUCCUGCAAAUAGGAGCCGGAUCCAGAAAACAGAUGCAGGAACACAGAGAAAGGGCCAGCUAUGUCAUUGUGAAGUCAUGGAUUUCAACUUCUUGCAUGGAUUUCAAAAAUAGGUAUUAUUCUUUCUGAAGCUCACGUUUUCCUCUUUGGCCAAGAGAUCCCUCUUCAGGCUGACUUGGAGUAUUUCUGACCUGAUCCUGGACGCCUUCUCUAUUGCCUGACAUGACAAGAUGCUCCAGACACCGCUUGAACUCAGGCCACAGCGUGUUUGGAGAGGCAGAGUGCAUCAGAAAGUUCCAGAAAGUUCUAGAAAGUGUGCUGUCCUGAGGUGGUGCACCGGGGGCCUGAGCAGCAUGAAAGUGAGGAAGAAGUGUAUGCUGUGUCAGGGCAACUGAAACCAUCUUUACUCUCCCAGCAAUACCUGAACAAGUUGUGGCAUACAGAGGCAAAGCAUGAGCUCCUUGCUUACUCACAGAAGCCACCCCACAUCUAUUUAUAUCAGCCAACUACUAUUGUGAUUCCAAAUCUGGCAGUCCAGCAGCUCAACAGUCCAUGCCUUGUACUUCAAAAGUGAGUGAUUGUUGUAUUAACCACAAUACCAAAUGGCUUUGCUUCUAGCCAAAUUACAAAAUAUGAUG